UUAUAUUUCUCAUACUAUGCCUUCAAGGCCAUGGUCACAAUACAUUCCAUAAUUAAACACCUACACCAUAAGUGGAUCAAACCAAGCAAGAACAAUUUUAUCCAUAAUAUGAGAUUAAGCCCAACUUACCAUCCUCCAAAGCCAUAAUAACCAUUACUCAAUUCCCAACAAUUCUAUCACCACAAGGUGAUUCACCCAUACUUUGCCCAUAAGGCCACAAUCCUCAAUUCAUCCAUAUACCAACAAUUCAUCAUAAAUAGAUAUAGAAAAUCAUAUAAAUCAACAAAACAAUCCAAUCUAAACACAAUUUCAUCAACAUUAAAUCAUAGGCAUUAAACCC
rnacentral:lncRNA from 1 species